rnacentral:lncRNA from 1 species
AUGAAGCAGCCAGGGCAGCUCCUCCUCCGCCUGCUGCUCCUGCUCUGCCUCGCCAAGAUCAAACGUGCAGCUGCCUGCUUUGAAGAUUGCAGCUCAGUAAAUGUAAAUGCGACGACGACAGAAAUCCAUAUUGACACAUUACCAGAAAACUUUACAAUAAGCAAUGUAACUUUUGCGAAUGGAACACUGUUCCAGAAUUCAUCACUGAACAAUUCAAUAGGAGGUCUUUCACCUGGUAUACAAUACAUUAUCAACUUUCAAAAUGGUACAGAAGCAUGUUGCAAAAACAUUACAACAAAGCCGAGUCCAGUUUCUGACAUCCAGGCCACAAAUAUCAGCACAGAACAAGUGACCUUAACGUGGGAAAACAAUGACACUGCUGCUCCUAAUUACACAUAUGUGAUAUACACUGAUGGGAAUGGAAUUUCUCCUACUCGGAACCAAACCUCCCAAAACAAAAAUGCUGUAAUUGUGGGAUUACGGCCUGGUACCCUUUAUGACUUCACAAUAGUUCCACUAGCAGCAGAUAACAUGACUAAAGGAGACCCAAAAGUCAUACACAUCUAUACAAGUAAGUAAUAGAAAGCUACAGUACAUGUUGCUUACAAUUAAAUACACUCUUUCUCUUCUCUAUUAC